rnacentral:rRNA from 1 species
GACGAACGCCGGCGGCGUGCUUAACACAUGCAAGUCGAGCGGUAAGGCCCUUUCGGGGGUACACGAGCGGCGAACGGGUGAGUAACACGUGGGUGACCUGCCCUCAGCUCUGGGAUAAGCCUGGGAAACUGGGUCUAAUACCGGAUAUGACUCCAUGACGCAUGUUGUGGGGUGGAAAGCCUUGUGCGGCUGAGGAUGGGCCCGCGGCCUAUCAGCUUGUUGGUGGGGUGAUGGCCACCAAGGCGACGACGGGUAGCCGGCCUGAGAGGGCGACCGGCCACACUGGGACUGAGACACGGCCCAGACUCCUACGGGAGGCAGCAGUGGGGAAUCUUGCGCAAUGGGCGAAAGCCUGACGCAGCGACGCCGCGUGAGGGAUGACGGCCUCGG